UCUUCGGAGUGAGAGCGUACGACAGGUGCUGCAUGGCUGUCGUCAGCUCGUGUCGUGAGAUGUGGGUUAAGUCCCGCAACGAGCGCAACCCUGCAUUCAGUUGCCAUCGGUAAGGCCGGGCACUCUGGAUGGACUGCCGGCGACAAGCCGGAGGAAGGUGGGGACGACGUCAAGUCAUCAUGGCCCUUAUGUCCAGGGCGACACACGUGCUACAAUGGCCGGCACAACGGGAAGCGAAGGGGCGACCCUGAGCGGAUCCCACAAAAGCCGGUCUCAGUUCGGAUUGCAGUCUGCAACUCGACUGCAUGAAGUUGGAAUCGCUAGUAAUCGUGGAUCAGCCAAGCCGCGGUGAAUACGUUCCCGGGCCUU
rnacentral:rRNA from 1 species